rnacentral:rRNA from 1 species
UACGUAGGGCGCAAGCGUUGUCCGGAAUUAUUGGGCGUAAAGAGCUCGUAGGCGGUUUGUCGCGUCUGCUGUGAAAACCUAAGGCUCAACCUUGGGCUUGCAGUGGGUACGGGCAGACUAGAGUGCGGUAGGGGCGACUGGAAUUCCUGGUGUAGCGGUGGAAUGCGCAGAUAUCAGGAGGAACACCGAUGGCGAAGGCAGGUCACUGGGCCGCAACUG